GGUAUUGAAAUAAGAUUUUAAAUGAGUGCUAAGAGAAUGAUUAAACAAUUAAAAACUUUCUUUAAUUAAAUAAUUAAAUUUAAUUUUUUUGGUGCAAAAGCAAAAAUAAAAUUUAGGGACAAGAAGACCCUAUGAAUUUUUAUUAUUAAUAUUAUGUAAUUAAAUUAUUAAUAAUUUAAUUGGGGUGAUAAAAAAAGAAUAAGUAUCUUUUUAAUUAUAAAAUAAGUUCCGUUUUUAGCGAUUAAAUGAAAAAAAUACUCUAGGGAUAACAGCGUAAUAAUUUUGGAUAGUUCAUAUAGAUAAAAUAGUUUGCGACCUCGAUGUUGGAUUAGGAUUCUUUUUUGGUGAAGAAGUUAAAAAAAGAAGUUUGUUCAACUUUUAAAUUCCUACUUGAUCUGAGUUCAGACCGG
rnacentral:rRNA from 1 species